rnacentral:rRNA from 1 species
AUGGUUAAAGAGAUGGUCAAAAGAAUGCUUGAUAGCCCGCAUGCUGAGGAGUUGCAACUUAGAAGACUUAAUUAUGGGGUGGUUACUCUGAUUCCUAAAACGAAAGAUGCUGCAACUAUCAAGCAAUAUCGGCCAAUAUGUUUAUAUUAUGUUUGUUAUAAAAUUGUGACUAAAGUACUGACAAAUAGGCUUGAGAUAGUUGCAGAUAAGGUGGUGAGUAAGAGUCAGACGGCAUUUAUGAAAAACGGAAAUAUUUUAGAUGGGGUGGUCACUAUCCAUGAGGUGUUUCAUGAGCUUAGGAGGACUAAACAAGAGGGGGUCAUACUAAAGCUAGACUUUGAAAAAGCAUAUGACAGGGUGAAUUGGGAUUUUCUACAAGAGGUUUUGCUUAAAAAGGGUUUUCUUUAG